CAGAUAUUAGUUUAUAAAAAUUUUAAUUUUGGAGAUUAAAGAUAAGGAAUUUCUUAUAUCUGA
rnacentral:tRNA from 1 species